AUGACACUUUUUCUUCUCUCUUCCUCUCACACCGGCGGUGGUGCGGCUUCAUUCAAAUUCAUCAUCUUCAUCGUGGUUUCAUCUUCCUCAUUCAGCCAUAGUGAUUCCUGCAUCGCAUUGUGGUUCACAUCUCCAUUCAACAUCGUCGCCUUGACCACAAAACCACACCUUUCCUCUUCUCUCUUUUUCAUCUAUGUUACCGGAGCGCAUCCGGCGAAUAGACGCCGCCGUCCUCACUUUCUCAACCCAUAA